GGUGACCCAGUAACUUCUCUUUUAGAAUGGUAUUUUCUGGACUAAAUAAAAAUACAUUACCAUAUUAAAGAUUAGAGGCUUACUAAAUGUUUUCAUACUAAAAUUUCAUUCUAAUUAGAAAAAGCUAGUAUGUAGCCUUGCAAGCAUCCAGGAAAUUAAAAUUUGAGAUGGUAUAUGAAAUGAUGUCUAUUUAAAGAUCAAAAAUAUUACCUUUAAUGUAUCUUUAAUGUAAUUUCUAUCUUACCCCCCCUUUAUUUUAUUCAUAGGUACCACAUUGAAUGAACAAAUAUUGAACUUUCCCGGUUCCCCUUAUAAAAGGAGUAUGGGGAGUAGGGAUAUAGUUUUAAUUGCAAAGCAUUUCACAUUAUGAGCUUCCUGGUUGUUGCACAGUCUCUCCAUGUGGGGAAAGUUCAUGCUAGAAAACUGAAGCAAUUAAUAGGUGACUAUGAUCAGAUUUCUUCACCAAGUUCUCAGCCUGAGAAGGAG
rnacentral:lncRNA from 1 species